rnacentral:sRNA from 1 species
UAUGGAUUUCGUUCAAAAGAAAGAUGCCACUGUGGUGAUUUGAAUGGGAAAUAUCCACCUUAGACUCAUACCUUAAACCCUUGUUCCCCAGGCAUCCCAUGUGUUGGUGCUUUUCCAAAAUGUCCUGGAACGUUUAGGUGGUACAGCCUUGCUGGAGGAAAUGUGUGACUCAGAAAUUUGGGUGCAACACAUCUAUGUCAGAGAGUUGAAGCUAGGAGAUUUUCUACUACCCUGUCUCUCUGUGCAGAAAAACAUUGUAUUUAACAUAUUUAUCUGUAUCACAAAUUGUACGAAAAUCUAAUUAAGCAUAUUUGAUGAAAAAUUCAAAGAAGACAUUUAUAACUUCAUUGAUUUAUUUAAGUAAGAACAUGUGACUUGAAUCACACUUCUCAGCUGGCCAUUCGCCUCCUAAAAAACAAAAUAAAUCACAGAGUCUGCAAAGAGCAAUCAUCUCAGAGACUCAAGCAGCUUCGUACUCAUCCAGAUAGGGAAGCAGGCUGAAAUACUUCGUUACUUAGAAUUUGGAGUUGGUCAUCAUAAAGAAAGGAUGAAAGCAUUCACAGGAGAAAGAGAAAAGAAGAGCAUAAUUCAGAGACCUAUGAAAUUAUAUUUUAAGUUAGAAGAAUAGUAAAACAGAAGGAUUUGGAUGUAACCUAAGUGCAUGGCCUCUCUCCCUUCCUUCCUUGCUUUUUCCUUCC